AUCAGAAACCCAAUUCCCAUUUCCCUUCCCGUCCCCUUCUCCUAAACCGACUUUCCCUUUCCCCAUUUCCCUUUUCCUUUUUCUUCUUCUUCGAGUAACCCGCAAGGAACCAAGACCUCCAUCACCUUCUUCCUUCUUCCGAAAAUUUCGAGUGCCUACAAGCAAGAUUCAUCCUCUUCCUCUUGACCUAAGCUGGUCCUUCUUCUCUGUGCAGUCACGGUGGUUCCUCAACCCUAACCGGCGCUCCUCUUCUCGUUGUUUGUUGGUGUAAACAAACUAAGCUGAUUAUAGAUCGGAUCCGGUCGGGAAUAAUCGGGUUAGCAAUGUUGAUGAGAGUGCUAAGGAUGUCCUUUUGAGCUGAGGCCGUGGAAGCUUAUAAUUUGUAUUAGGAAUUUGUUUAAUGUAUAUUAGUUCUGAUUAGUUCUGAUUAUGUUGAUUAUAAUGGACUCGUAGUGAGUUGUAUGGUUACUUUAUAUUUAGAUUAGAUAUUUGGUUUGAGAUUUAGCUGUGUUGGUUUUGUUAUAGAGCUAGUGAUUCCUUUGCCCAGGUUUUGGGAUAUGAUUUAAGUUUCUUGGGAAAUAAUCCCCGUGACGACCCUGUUUACCCAGUCAACGGUAAGCUGGGUUGUUACACAGUCUGGCUCAGAAGGAUAUUAAUCGAUCUACAACAUAAGCAAGAGACACCAACUACAAUGUGCUGCGACAACAUCUCAACAAUUGCAAUGACGAAGAAUUCAGUGUUUCAUAGCAGAUCAAAACACAUCGAGAUACGACAUCACUACAUUCGUGAGUUAGUAGACAAGAAAGAGAUCGAACUACAAUUCUGCAAGAUGGGGGAGCAGCUCGCGGACAUUUUCACAAAACCCAUAUCAACUAAUAGAUUUAUCGAGUUCAGAAGACAACUCAGAGUUCAAGAUUUUUCAGAUUAGGGGGAGUGUUAAAAUAAUCUAGAAAAAUCUAGGAUUUUAAUUAAAUAUAAAAAUAUCUAAACUAAAGAAUUAAAAAAUAAAAAUAUCUAAGAUAAUAUAAUGGAAGAUCCUAGAAAAAGUAAUAAAAAAAUAAAAAUAUUUAAGAUAUUUUAGUAAACUUGUAACCAAACUUAACACUAUAAAUACCCAUUGAUGUAAUCAAUUUUUUGGAAAUGAAGAACAAUAUCUAUUCUACA